UAUUGGGUUUAAAGGGUCCGUAGGCGGGAUAAUAAGUCAGUGGUGAAAGUUUGUGGCUCAACCAUAAAAUUGCCAUUGAUACUGUUAUUCUUGAGUAAUUGUGAAGUGGUUAGAAUGUGUAGUGUAGCGGUGAAAUGCAUAGAUAUUACACAGAAUACCAAUUGCGAAGGCAGAUCACUAACAAUUAACUGACGCUGAUGGACGAAAGCGUAGGUAGCGAACAGGAUUAGAUACCCUGGUAGUCUACGCAGUAAACGAUGGUUACUAGCUGUUUGGUCUAAUUGAGGGCUAAGUGGCUAAGCGAAAGUGAUAAGUAACCCACCUGGGGAGUACGUUCGCAAGAAUGAAACUCAAAGGAAUUGACGGGGGCCCGCACAAGCGGUGGAGCAUGUGGUUUAAUUCGAUGAUACGCGAGGAACCUUACCAGGGCUUAAAUGCAGUCUGACAGGGGUAGAAAUACCUUUUUCUUCGGACAGAUUGCAAGGUGCUGCAUGGUUGUCGUCAGCUCGUGCCGUGAGGUGUCAGGUUAAGUCCUAUAACGAGCGCAACCCCUAUGGUUAGUUGCUAGCAGGUCAUGCUGAGAACUCUAGCCAGACUGCCGGUGUAAACCGCGAGGAAGGUGGGGAUGACGUCAAAUCAUCACGGCCCUUACGUCCUGGGCUACACACGUGCUACAUAUGGUAUGUACAAUGAGCAGCCACUACGCGAGUAGGCGCAAAUCUCAAAAGCAUAUCACAGUUCGUAUCGGAGUCUGCAACUCGACUCCGGAAGCUGGAAUCGCUAG
rnacentral:rRNA from 1 species